rnacentral:tRNA from 1 species
AUUACUUUGACAGAAUAAUGUAAUAAAUUUAGAAUUUAUUUAAGUAGUAAAUAACUAUCUACAAGUAAUA